rnacentral:lncRNA from 1 species
AUGUAUACGCCACAAUCCACAUCUUUUCCUAAACUGGCACACCAUUCAAAAUCCCCAAAUCUUAAAUGUCGGCCAACUGAAACGAAAUUGAUAUCCCUUAACUAUCUCCCAAUACUGUUCUCCUUUAUUCAAACUCAUUCUUAAAUUGCAACCCUUCACUCACGCUCGAAAUCGACAUCCCUUCACUCACGCUCGGCAUCAAAUAAAAAGAACACAUUUGAUUGCGAUUUGCAAAUGGCGACUUUCAGAGGCCAAUUUAAGGGCGAUUCACAUAGACCAAUUGAUGGCGAUUUGAAGUGGAAACAGGGCAAUGGUCCUAAUGGUUUGCAGAGGCGAAUUUUCUGUUAACGAAAUUGAAGAAGGAGAAGAAUGAUCGAUAUUCUUCAACUAUCGAUAGUAUAUGACGUUGAUCUAAUUAUAAAUCCGUGAUUUGAUCUAGAAUGGCAAAU